rnacentral:rRNA from 1 species
UGCCAGCCGCCGCGGUAAUACGGAGAGUGCUAGCGUUGUUCGGAAUUAUUGGGCGUAAAGGGCGCGCAGGCGGUCUGGUAAGUCUGAUGUGAAAGCCCUCGGCUCAACCGAGGAAGUGCAUUGGAUACUGCUGGACUUGAGUACGGGAGAGGGAAGCGGAAUUCCCAGUGUAGAGGUGAAAUUCGUAGAUAUUGGGAGGAACACCAGUGGCGAAGGCGGCUUCCUGGACCGAUACUGACGCUGAGGCGCGAAAGCGUGGGGAGCAAACAGGAUUAGAUA